UAAUACGUAGGGGGCGAGCGUUGUCCGGAAUUACUGGGCGUAAAGGGUGCGUAGGCGGUCUGUUAAGUCAGGUGUGAAAUACCACGGCUCAACUGUGGUGUUGCACUUGAAACUGGCAGGCUAGAGUGCAGGAGAGGGAAGCGGAAUUCCUAGUGUAGCGGUGAAAUGCGUAGAUAUUAGGAGGAACACCAGUGGCGAAGGCGGCUUCCUGGCCUGUAACUGACGCUGAGGCACGAAAGCGUGGGGAGCAAACAGG
rnacentral:rRNA from 1 species